ACGAACGCUGGCGGCGUGGAUAAGACAUGCAAGUCGAACGAGAGAAUUGCUAGCUUGCUAAUAAUUCUCUAGUGGCGCACGGGUGAGUAACACGUGAGUAACCUGCCCCCGAGAGCGGGAUAGCCCUGGGAAACUGGGAUUAAUACCGCAUAGUAUCGAAAGAUUAAAGCAGCAAUGCGCUUGGGGAUGGGCUCGCGGCCUAUUAGUUAGUUGGUGAGGUAACGGCUCACCAAGGCGAUGACGGGUAGCCGGUCUGAGAGGAUGUCCGGCCACACUGGAACUGAGACACGGUCCAGACACCUACGGGUGGCAGCAGUCGAGAAUCAUUCACAAUGGGGGAAACCCUGAUGGUGUGACGCCGCGUGGGGGAAUGAAGGUCUUCGGAUUGUAAACCCCUGUCAUGUGGGAGCAAAUUAAAAAGAUAGUACCACAAGAGGAAGAGACGGCUAACUCUGUGCCAGCAGCCGCGGUAAUACAGAGGUCUCAAGCGUUGUUCGGAAUCACUGGGCGUAAAGCGUGCGUAGGCUGUUUCGUAAGUCGUGUGUGAAAGGCGCGGGCUCAACCCGCGGACGGCACAUGAUACUGCGAGACUAGAGUAAUGGAGGGGGAACCGGAAUUCUCGGUGUAGCAGUGAAAUGCGUAGAUAUCGAGAGGAACACUCGUGGCGAAGGCGGGUUCCUGGACAUUAACUGACGCUGAGGCACGAAGGCCAGGGGAGCGAAAGGGAUUAGAUACCCCUGUAGUCCUGGCAGUAAACGGUGCACGCUUGGUGUGCGGGGAAUCGACCCCCUGCGUGCCGGAGCUAACGCGUUAAGCGUGCCGCCUGGGGAGUACGGUCGCAAGAUUAAAACUCAAAGAAAUUGACGGGGACCCGCACAAGCGGUGGAGUAUGUGGCUUAAUUCGAUGCAACGCGAAGAACCUUACCUGGGCUUGACAUGUAAUGAACAACAUGUGAAAGCAUGCGACUCUUCGGAGGCGUUACACAGGUGCUGCAUGGCCGUCGUCAGCUCGUGUCGUGAGAUGUUUGGUUAAGUCCAGCAACGAGCGCAACCCCUGUUGCCAGUUACCAGCACGUGAAGGUGGGGACUCUGGCGAGACUGCCCAGAUCAACUGGGAGGAAGGUGGGGACGACGUCAGGUCAGUAUGGCCCUUAUGCCCAGGGCUGCACACGUACUACAAUGCCCAGUACAGAGGGGGCCGAAGCCGCGAGGCGGAGGAAAUCCUGAAAGCUGGGCCCAGUUCGGACUGUAGGCUGCAACCCGCCUACACGAAGCCGGAAUCGCUAGUAAUGGCGCAUCAGCUACGGCGCCGUGAAUACGUUCCCGGGUCUUGUACACACCGCCCGUCACAUCAUGGAAGCCGGUCGCACCCGAAGUAUCUGAAGCCAACCGCAAGGAGGCAGGGUCCUAAGGUGAGACUGGUAACUGGGAUG
rnacentral:rRNA from 1 species